rnacentral:rRNA from 1 species
GAUGAACGCUAGCGGCAGGCUUAACACAUGCAAGUCGAGGGGUAUAGGAAGCUUGCUUCCUAGAGACCGGCGCAAGGGUGCGUAACGCGUAUGCAACCUACCUUUUACAGAGGGAUAGCCCAGAGAAAUUUGGAUUAAUACCUCAUAGUAUAUGUUUUUCGCAUGUUCGACAUAUUAAAGUAACAACGGUAAAAGAUGGGCAUGCGUCCUAUUAGCUAGAUGGUAAGGUAACGGCUUACCAUGGCAACGAUAGGUAGGGGUCCUGAGAGGGAGAUCCCCCACACUGGUACUGAGACACGGACCAGACUCCUACGGGAGGCAGCAGUGAGGAAUAUUGGACAAUGGGCGCAAGCCUGAUCCAGCCAUGCCGCGUGCAGGAAGACGCAUCUAUGGUGUGUAAACUGCUUUUGUACGGGAAGAAACACCCCUUCGUGAAGGGGCUUGACGGUACCGUAAGAAUAAGGAUCGGCUAACUCCGUGCCAGCCGCCGCCGUAAAAC